rnacentral:rRNA from 1 species
UGGGGAAUAUUGCGCAAUGGGGGGAACCCUGACGCAGCCAUGCCGCGUGAAUGAAGAAGGCCUUAGGGUUGUAAAGUUCUUUCGGUAUUGAGGAAGGUUGAUGUGUUAAUAGCACAUCAAAUUGACGUUAAAUACAGAAGAAGCACCGGCUAACUCCGUGCCAGCAGCCGCGGUAAUACGGAGGGUGCGAGCGUUAAUCGGAAUAACUGGGCGUAAAGGGCACGCAGGCGGUUAUUUAAGUGAGGUGUGAAAGCCCCGGGCUUAACCUGGGAAUUGCAUUUCAGAUUGGGUAACUAGAGUACUUUAGGGAGGGGUAGAAUUCCACGUGUAGCGGUGAAAUGCGUAGAGAUGUGGAGGAAUACCGAAGGCGAAGGCAGCCCCUUGGGAAUGUACUGACGCUCAUGUGCGAAAGCGUGGGGAGCAAACAGGAUUAGAUACCCUGGUAGUCCACGCUGUAAACGCUGUCGAUUUGGGGGUUGGGGUUUAACUCUGGCGCCCGUAGCUAACGUGAUAAAUCGACCGCCUGGGGAGUACGGCCGCAAGGUUA